UACGUAGGGUGCAAGCGUUGUCCGGAAUUAUUGGGCGUAAAGAGCUCGUAGGCGGUCUGUCGCGUCUGCUGUGAAAACUCAGGGCUUAACCCUGAGCUUGCAGUGGGUACGGGCAGACUAGAGUGCGGUAGGGGAGACUGGAAUUCCUGGUGUAGCGGUGAAAUGCGUAGAUAUCUGGAGGAACACCGGUGGCGAAGGCGGCAUCCUGGACCGGUAUUGACGCUGAGGCGCGAAAGCUAGGGGAGCAAACGGG
rnacentral:rRNA from 1 species